CUGGGAAGACAGCGCUACUGCGGCGCAGGGCUCGACGGGAAGUGUAGUCCCGGGGGGGCGGGGCUGCCUGUCCCGGUUUGCCCUCGGGAGGCGGCCGCGCCCCGCUGGGUCGGAGAGCCAGAGGCGGCUUUGGGGAGGCUGCGGCUUUGUGGGGUCUGUGGUGCCGCCGCCACGCGGGGCCGCCAGCGCCCGGCUCCUCUGCGAGAGCAUGACCUCCGCUGCCGCGGGAAGGCGCCCUGACCCCGCCGGGCCUGCCCUCCCCUGCCUGCAGCGGCCGGCCUUCGCCUCUCUCAGGUGCGGCAGAAGGACGAGUGAUAGUGUAGCUGGCUUCUGGGUGUCUAAAGCAGCCAUGGCCACCAAGAAUCUCAGGAGUGCAUUUGGACAAGGCAAAUCUAAUCUGCAUGAAGGAGGAGUAUUUCCAGGGCACUGCCAUACCAAAUGGAAGACAUCGUGUUCUCUGCCUGAUGAAAUGUAA
rnacentral:lncRNA from 1 species